rnacentral:misc_RNA from 1 species
GAAAUGCGAUAAGUAAUGUGAAUUGCAGAAUUCCGUGAAUCAUCGAAUCUUUGAACGCACAUUGCGCCCCCUGGCAUUCCGGGGGGUAUGCCUGUCCGAGCGUCAUUUCUGCCCUCAAGCACGGCUUGUGUGUUGGGUGUGGUCCCCCCGGGGACCUGCCCGAAAGGCAGCGGCGACGUCCGUCUGGUCCUCGAGCGUAUGGGGCUCUGUCACUCGCUCGGGAAGGACCUGCGGGGGUUGGUCACCACCAUAUUUCACCACGGUUGACCUCGGAUCAGGUAGGAGUUACCCGCUGAACUUAAGC